UACGUAGGGUGCAAGCGUUGUCCGGAAUUAUUGGGCGUAAAGAGCUCGUAGGCGGUUCGUCGCGUCGGCUGUGAAAACCUGAGGCUCAACCUCAGGCCUGCAGUCGAUACGGGCGGACUUGAGUACUGCAGGGGAGACUGGAAUUCCUGGUGUAGCGGUGAAGUGCGCAGAUAUCAGGAGGAACACCGGUGGCGAAGGCGGGUCUCUGGGCAGUAACUGACGCUGAGGAGCGAAAGCGUGGGGAGCGAACAGG
rnacentral:rRNA from 1 species